rnacentral:rRNA from 1 species
GAUGAACGCUGGCGGCGUGCCUAACACGUGCAAGUCGAGCGCGCCCUUCGGGGUGAGCGGCGGACGGGUUAGUAACGCGUGGGAACGUGCCCUUUGGUACGGAAUAGCCUCUGGAAAACGGAGAGUAAAUACCGUAUGAGCCCUUCGGGGGAAAGAUUUAUCGCCAAAGGAUCGGCCCGCGUUAGAUUAGGUAGUUGGUGGGGUAAUGGCCUACCAAGCCUACGAUCUAUAGCUGGUUUUUAGAGGAUGAUCAGCAACACUGGGACUGAGACACGGCCCAGACUCCUACGGGAGGCAGCAGUGGGGAAUCUUGGACAAUGGGGGCAACCCUGAUCCAGCCAUGCCGCGUGA